rnacentral:rRNA from 1 species
UACGGGGGGGGCAAGCGUUGUUCGGAAUUACUGGGCGUAAAGGGCUCGUAGGCGGCCAACUAAGUCAGACGUGAAAUCCCUCGGCUUAACCGGGGAACUGCGUCUGAUACUGGAUGGCUUGAGUUUGGGAGAGGGAUGCGGAAUUCCAGGUGUAGCGGUGAAAUGCGUAGAUAUCUGGAGGAACACCGGUGGCGAAGGCGGCAUCCUGGACCAACACUGACGCUGAGUGAGCGAAAGCCAGGGGAGCAAACGGGG